GCUAUAAUGCAAGUCGAGCGGACAGAUGGGAGCUUGCUCCCUGAUGUUAGCGGCGGACGGGUGAGUAACACGUGGGUAACCUGCCUGUAAGACUGGGAUAACUCCGGGAAACCGGGGCUAAUACCGGAUGGUUGUUUGAACCGCAUGGUUCAGACAUAAAAGGUGGCUUCGGCUACCACUUACAGAUGGACCCGCGGCGCAUUAGCUAGUUGGUGAGGUAACGGCUCACCAAGGCGACGAUGCGUAGCCGACCUGAGAGGGUGAUCGGCCACACUGGGACUGAGACACGGCCCAGACUCCUACGGGAGGCAGCAGUAGGGAAUCUUCCGCAAUGGACGAAAGUCUGACGGAGCAACGCCGCGUGAGUGAUGAAGGUUUUCGGAUCGUAAAGCUCUGUUGUUAGGGAAGAACAAGUGCCGUUCAAAUAGGGCGGCACCUUGACGGUACCUAACCAGAAAGCCACGGCUAACUACGUGCCAGCAGCCGCGGUAAUACGUAGGUGGCAAGCGUUGUCCGGAAUUAUUGGGCGUAAAGGGCUCGCAGGCGGUUUCUUAAGUCUGAUGUGAAAGCCCCCGGCUCAACCGGGGAGGGUCAUUGGAAACUGGGGAACUUGAGUGCAGAAGAGGAGAGUGGAAUUCCACGUGUAGCGGUGAAAUGCGUAGAGAUGUGGAGGAACACCAGUGGCGAAGGCGACUCUCUGGUCUGUAACUGACGCUGAGGAGCGAAAGCGUGGGGAGCGAACAGGAUUAGAUACCCUGGUAGUCCACGCCGUAAACGAUGAGUGCUAAGUGUUAGGGGGUUUCCGCCCCUUAGUGCUGCAGCUAACGCAUUAAGCACUCCGCCU
rnacentral:rRNA from 1 species